rnacentral:tRNA from 1 species
GGGCCUUUAGCUCAGUUGGUUAGAGCAGGAGACUCAUAAUCUCUUGGUCGUAGGUUCGAGUCCUACAAGGCCCACCA